rnacentral:rRNA from 1 species
UACGAAGGGGGCUAGCGUUGCUCGGAAUUACUGGGCGUAAAGGGCGCGUAGGCGGACAUUUAAGUUAGAGGUGAAAGCCCGGGGCUCAACCCUGGAAUAGCCUUUAAUACUGGAUGUCUUGAGUUCGGGAGAGGUGAGUGGAAUGCCGAGUGUAGAGGUGAAAUUCGUAGAUAUUCGGCGGAACACCAGUGGCGAAGGCGACUCACUGGCCCGAUACUGACGCUGAGGCGCGAAAGCGUGGGGAGCAAACAGG